UUCAAUGUCCCGCUUUGAUACCAUAUUGAAAGGGAGACAAACAAACACACAACUUUACGUGAAAACCCAAGUAUCGGAAGAAAAAUCACGAUAUUUUUCUUCUUAUUAUUUUAUGAUAAAUGAUACAAUAGGUACGAGGGAGAAUAAGUAAAAUUAGAUUCUUAUCAUUAUGAACAGAUUCUUUAUCAACAAAAUCAGAAAAAUAUGCAAAAGAAUCGGACAAUGGCUAACUUUACUGAGAGAAUAGAAAAAUGUCUGCAAAACUGAGGGAAACCACAUGGGAAAAACCUUCAACGACUAUCCACAAAAAAAUACGUAGGCUAGAAAACAAUCUCAAAUUGACAGCACAUCGGGGACAAAAAGUGAAUAAGAUGAGCGGAGUAAAGAAGGUAAAAUGUGCGAGGAAGAGCCAAUUUUGGAAGAAAGAAAAAAAAUUAAAGAAAAAGAAUAUAAAGCUAUUUUCAAAAUGGGAAGGGCACAGUCUAAUUUGGAAGAAAAAUCAAGAAACCCCUACAAACUUACAUUUGGGUACUUAGGCGAAAUUGUUGACAAAGCAGAGGUGAUAGGAAAUAAGCACCGGAUGUAAAAGGAAGAUCACGCGGUUGAAGAAGAGAAUAGAGCAGAAAUUAACCUUGACCACAAUUACCAAAAUAGACAACAAGAGAAUCAACACCUAUUGUAAUUGGUAUGAAAAAAAUGUGCAAGAUUUACCAACAAUCGUUCAAGUACAACCAAAGAUCAAGGUUAUAUCAAAAUCAUUUUCCUCCCACCUAUGGUAAUUGGUAUGAAAAAAAUGUGCAAGAUUUACCAACAAUCGUUCAAGUACAACCAAAGAUCAAGGUUAUAUCAAAAUCAUUUUCCUCCCUUCCUUGAGUAGUCUGCAUAUAUUUUAACAACAAAGGAUUGUUUAAACAAC
rnacentral:lncRNA from 1 species